GGAGCAGAGAGGAUAAACCACUGUUCUACUCUUUGAUACCUCAUUCCCUAACAAAGAAGCAGCAGGUUGUGGUUUCUGAGAGCCCAGGCUACGUAGAUGGGAAUGGAAGAAUGAGAAGGGAGCCAGGGCCAAGGUGGGGACUGUGUCCAGCAUAUGAAGUGCUCUUCUCUGCAGCCAUCCCUACUGCAAGGAGGAGUCUGACUGACUUCAGUAAUCAGCCUUCAAAUGGUGUUACAGUGAACACCUGCAUUUUAAGAAGCAUCUACAAGGAUGAUGGAAUAUUAUUUCCUAAAAGAUCCAUAAAGCCAUCUGCUGUGGAGAAGACCCAUGAAAGAACCUGCAGUGCGAUGGAGCUGUGCCUGUUGUGACUCCAAGAAGAUUCACACGAGGACCUAGAGGAUAAAAUGAGAUGGGACCUGCAUAUCUCCUUUUGGUGCCUUUCCUCUUACAGAAGGACCUUGUCUAUAGAGAGGGAUGGUGACACUCAGGCGUGGACCCACUGCAGUCAGGCAGCAAGUAUAUUGUAUUAGUUUUACCUAUGUUGCUGUGAUAAACUACCCUGACAGAAGCAAUUUAGAGGUGAAAGAGUAAAUUUCG
rnacentral:lncRNA from 1 species